UGUAAGUUCCUUGGAACAGGACGUCACAGAGGGUGAGAAUCCCGUACGUGGCCGCCGGCCUUCGCCUUGUAAAUCUCCUUCGAUGAGUUCGAGUUGUUUGGGAAUGCAGCUCUAAAUGGGAGGUAAAUUCCUUCUAAAGCUAAAUACCCGCCAGAGACCGAUAGCGCACAAGUAGAGUGAUCGAAAGAUGAAAAGCACUUUGGAAAGAGAGUGAAAAAGCACGUGAAAUUGUUGAAAGGGAAGCGCUUGCGGCUAGACGUGCCCGCGGUUGAUCAUCCAGGCUCCGGCCUGGUGCACUCCUCCGCGGGCAGGCCAGCAUCAGUUCGGGCGGUCGGAUAAAGGCCUCUGUCACGUGCCACCCCUCGGGGUGGCCUUAUAGGGGAGGCGCAACACGGCCAGCCCGGACUGAGGUUCCGCGCAUCUGUUAGGAUGCUGGCGUAAUAGCAGCAAGCGGCCCGUCUUGAAACACGCACCAAGGAGUCUAUCAUCUAUGUGAGUGUUUGGGUGUCAAGCCCGAGCGUGCAAUGAAAGUGAACGGAGGUGGGAGCCCUCCGGGUGCAUCAUCGACCGAUCCUGAUGUUUUCGGAUGGAUUUGAGUAAGAGCAUAGCUGUUGGGACCCGAAAGAUGGUGAACUAUGCCUGAAUAGGGUGAAGCCAGAGGAAACUCUGGUGGAGGCUCGCAGCGGUUCUGACGUGCAAAUCGAUCGUCAAAUAUGGGCAUAGGGGC
rnacentral:rRNA from 1 species